rnacentral:tRNA from 1 species
AGCAUUAAGAUAGUUUGUGAGGAGCAUCUGCCUUCUAAGCAGACGGUCGAAGGUUCGAAUCCUUCUGCGACCA